rnacentral:rRNA from 1 species
UGGGGAAUAUUGCGCAAUGGGGGAAACCCUGACGCAGCGACGCCGCGUGCGGGAUGAAGGCCUUCGGGUUGUAAACCGCUUUUGAUUGGGAGCAAGCUUUCGGGUGAGUGUACCUUUCGAAUAAGCGCCGGCUAACUACGUGCCAGCAGCCGCGGUAAUACGUAGGGCGCAAGCGUUAUCCGGAAUUAUUGGGCGUAAAGAGCUUGUAGGCGGUUCGUCGCGUCUGGUGUGAAAGCCCGUCGCUUAACGGUGGGUUUGCGCCGGGUACGGGCGGGCUAGAGUGCAGUAGGGGAGACUGGAAUUCCCGGUGUAACGGUGGAAUGUGUAGAUAUCGGGAAGAACACCAAUGGCGAAGGCAGGUCUCUGGGCUGUUACUGACGCUGAGAAGCGAAAGCGUGGGGAGCGAACAGG